rnacentral:rRNA from 1 species
CUUUCGGGGGUGCACCACAGGUGUUGCAUGGCAGUUGUCAGCUCGUGUUUUGAGAUGUUGGGUUAAGUCCCGCAACGAGCGCAACCCCCUAGCGUGUUGCCAUCAUUUAGGUGGGGACUCUCGCGAGAGAGCCCGGGACAAACCGGGGGGAGGGGGGGGUGAAGGCCAAUUCUCCAUGACCCUAACUCCACGGGCUACACACUUGCUACAAUGGCGGGUACAAAGUCCCAAACCUAGCGAGUCAAGCCAAUCCCUAAAAGCCGGUCUCAGUUCAGAUAGCAGUCUGCAACUCGACUCCA